CUAAAUGUUCUCAUAACUGGACAAAUCAUGGGUCAAGAUGCUAUUACUUCUCCACUGACAAGCUGAACUGGACUCAGAGUCGUGAUAAUUGUGUCUCCGUGGGAGGGCACCUGGUCAUCAUAAACAGCCCAGAAGAGCAGACAUUUUUAGAAUCAAUAUUCUCCAAGAAAGAACACAGUUUCUGGAUUGGACUGAGGCAGGAGAAAGAAAAGAGAAUUUGGUUAUGGAUGGACAACAAACAGCUAGACAACACAAGCUUCCUUAAAAGGAUUAACCACCACUCUGAUGUUUCCAAAGAAAAUAAAUUAUGUUGUUAUACAAAGAAGGAGGAUGGUAAUGGCACUAACCUGUUUGAAGACAAAUGUAAUCAGCCAAAAAAAAGAAUA